UUCUUUCUUAGCAUUACUGAAACAUUUUGUUCUGAAAUAAAACAAUGACAUCAAAAUACUUGUAUUAAGAAUAAACAAAUACUAGAGCUUUCUUAAUCUGAUUUGGAUUAAACAAUUAGAUCUGGUAUAUUUGAAAAAAAAAAAUAUCAUUUUACAAAAAGAUCUUACAUUUAUAAUAAUAUGUGAUUAUUUUUUCAAAAGGGAGAUUAAAACUGACAUUGCUGACUGGGGAUGACAGUUAAAAAUGUGAUCUGACUUGCUUUGUUUAUUUUAUUUAUGUAUUACGUGUGAAAAUGUUGUUAUUUAGAUGAAUGGAAUAUAGCCACUUUGGCAUUGCUUGAUUUUAUGUUUACAUCGGAGUUUGUCGAACGUCUUGUACUGUUAGCACUGAUAUGGUCCGUCCAUUAUAUAAAUGUUUGUAUUAUGAGACUUUGUUUUGAAGUUUUUAAAAAGAAUCAGCUGAUCUGUUAUUUUUGAAAAAUCAAAAUAAAACAUAAAA
rnacentral:sRNA from 1 species